ensembl:lncRNA
CCUUAUUUCUAACUUUUCGACUUGCCAAAAUCAAGAGACCAUUUAACUUCCUCCAGGCUAGACUUUUUAAAUUCUUUUAAAAUAAGGAAUGGGGUGGAAAUAUCAGGACCCCAAGACAUUUGGAGAGUUCAAGAGUUUUCUAUUGCUUUUUUUUUUGCCUCCCAGUGAGGCAUGUGGGAUCUUAGUUCCCCCGCCAGAGAUGGAACCCAUGACCCAUACAGUGGAAGCAAAGGGUCUUAACCGCUGGACUGCCAGGCAGAUUCUUCACCGUCUGAGCCACCAGGAAGUCUAAUUCAAUUUUAUUCAACAGCAACAGAAUUCUGUCCUACUCAUCACCAGAUGCUAUUCUCAAGAAUUCCACUAGGUGGCAGGACGGGGCCAGAUGAGAGAGAACAGCCAUGGUACUCAACCUUUGCAGGCCUGGGAACCACCUGCCCAACUCCAGCCUCAGAGUUUCUGAUUCAUUAGUCUGCAGUGCGGCCCCCAAAUCUGCAUUUCUACCAAGUUCCCAGUUUCCUCUCAGAGUUCAAGCAGGAAUUCCCUGGCAGUCCAGUGGUUAGGACUUGGAGCUUUCACUGCAGUGGCCCAUGUUCAAUCCCUGGUUGGGGAACUAAGAUCCCACAAGCCGAGCAGCACAGCCAGAAAAAAAGAGAGAGACAGAGUUCAAGCUUUGUGCCCUUAAAGCUUGAAUGAUCAACCAGCUCGUCACCUCACAUGGCUAAAUCUGCUGAACUAGCAAAACUCAGGACUGUUUGCUCUCCUGCAAAACCUCGCAGAUGGAAAUUUUCCUCUCUGAACUCACAGAGGCCUGAAAUGAAACAGCGUGCCUGACAACCGCUCCCUGGCUCUGCACUACCGAGUGAAACUCGAGGCCAACUAUGUCCUUAGAGUCUGCACUUGGUUGCCUUCUGCAUUAGCUCCUUGUUGUAAAUUUCAACACAUUAAUUUGGGGAGACAUUUUUUUGAUUCAUGAUUGCCCACACUGUCCUAUAAAUACUAUUAACCACCUGUUACACAUCUUCAAUAGGAAAAGUUUAAAUUAAAAAGUCAGUGCUAG